GGUAAACCCGUGGCAGCAGCAGCGGUAAGACGGGGGGUGCAAGCGGUACUCGGAAUCACUGGGCGUAAAGAGCAUGUAGGCGGAUUAAUAAGUUUGAAGUGAAAUCCUAUAGCUUAACUAUAGAACUGCUUUGAAAACUGUUAAUCUAGAAUGUGGGAGAGGUAGAUGGAAUUUCUGGUGUAGGGGUAAAAUCCGUAGAGAUCAGAAGGAAUACCGAUUGCGAAGGCGAUCUACUGGAACAUUAUUGACGCUGAGAUGCGAAAGCGUGGGGAGCAAACAGGAUUAGAUACCCGGGUAGUC
rnacentral:rRNA from 1 species